rnacentral:misc_RNA from 1 species
UUAACUAUUAUAUAGUACUCAGACGACACUAAUAUUCAGGGUUUGGGGUUCUCUGGCGGGCGCUUACCAGCCGGAGCCGGUAGUCUGGCCGAAGCUAGACGGCCCGCCAAAGCAACAAAGGUAAUAAUAACACAGGGUGGGAGAUCUACCCGUAAGGGCAUGAACUCUGUAAUGAUCCCUCCGCAGGUUCACCUACGGAGA